rnacentral:rRNA from 1 species
ACGGGAGGCAGCAGUGGGGAAUAUUGCACAAUGGGGGAAACCCUGAUGCAGCGAUGCCGCGUGGAGGAAGAAGGUUUUCGGAUUGUAAACUCCUUUUAUCAGGGACGAUAAUGACGGUACCUGAAGAAAAAGCUCCGGCUAACUACGUGCCAGCAGCCGCGGUAAUACGUAGGGAGCGAGCGUUGUCCGGAAUUACUGGGUGUAAAGGGAGCGUAGGCGGGACGGCAAGUCAGAUGUGAAAUAUACGGGCUCAACCUGUAGACUGCAUUUGAAACUGUUGUUCUUGAGUGAAGUAGAGGUAAGCGGAAUUCCUAGUGUAGCGGUGAAAUGCGUAGAUAUUAGGAGGAACAUCGGUGGCGAAGGCGGCUUACUGGGCUUUUACUGACGCUGAGGCUCGAAUGCGUGGGGAGCAAACAGGAUUAGAUACCCUGGUA